rnacentral:rRNA from 1 species
UACGUAGGUGGCAAGCGUUAUCCGGAAUUACUGGGCGUAAAGCGCACGCAGGCGGUCUUGUAAGUUUGACGUGAAAGCUCUCGGCUUAACUGGGAGAGGUCGUUGAAUACUGCGAGACUUGAGUUUAGGAGAGGGGUGUAGAAUUCCCGGUGUAGUGGUGGAAUGCGUAGAUAUCGGGGGGAAUACCAGUGGCGAAAGCGGCACCCUAGCCUAUGACUGACGCUCAUGUGCGAAAGCGUGGGGAGCG